UACGUAGGGUGCAGGCGUUAAUCGGAAUUACUGGGCGUAAAGCGUGCGCAGGCGGUUUCUUAAGUCAGGUGUGAAAGCCCCGGGCUUAACCUGGGAACUGCGUUUGAAACUGGGAGACUUGAGUGUGGCAGAGGGGGGUGGAAUUCCACGUGUAGCAGUGAAAUGCGUAGAUAUGUGGAGGAACACCGAUGGCGAAGGCAGCCCCCUGGGUUAACACUGACGCUCAUGCACGAAAGCGUGGGGAGCAAACAGG
rnacentral:rRNA from 1 species